UACGGGGGGAGCAAGCGUUGUUCGGAUUUACUGGGCGUAAAGGGCGCGUAGGCGGCCACUGCAAGUCGGUUGUGAAAUCUCCGGGCUUAACUCGGAAAGGUCAAUCGAUACUGCAGGGCUAGAGUGCAGAAGGGGCAACUGGAAUUCUCGGUGUAGCGGUGAAAUGCGUAGAUAUCGAGAGGAACACCUGCGGCGAAGGCGGGUUGCUGGGCUGACACUGACGCUGAGGCGCGACAGCGUGGGGAGCAAACAGG
rnacentral:rRNA from 1 species